rnacentral:rRNA from 1 species
UAACGCGAAGAACCUUACCAGGUCUUGACAUCUUCUGCUAACCUAAGAGAUUAGGCGUUCCCUUCGGGGACGGAAUGACAGGUGGUGCAUGGUUGUCGUCAGCUCGUGUCGUGAGAUGUUGGGUUAAGUCCCGCAACGAGCGCAACCCUUAUUGUCAGUUGCCAGCAUUAAGUUGGGCACUCUGGCAAGACUGCCGGUGACAAACCGGAGGAAGGUGGGGAUGACGUCAAAUCAUCAUGCCCCUUAUGACCUGGGCUACACACGUGCUACAAUGGACGAUACAACGAGUCGCUAGACCGCGAGGUUAAGCUAAUCUCUGAAAGUCGUUCUCAGUUCGGAUUGCAGGCUGCAACUCGCCUACAUGAAGUUGGAAUCGCUAGUAAUCGUGGAUCAGC